UACGAAGGGGGCUAGCGUUGUUCGGAAUUACUGGGCGUAAAGCGCGCGCAGGCGGUCCUUUAAGUCAGGGGUGAAAGCCCAGAGCUCAACUCUGGAACGGCCUUUGAAACUAGAGGACUUGGGUACGGGAGAGGUGAGUGGAAUUCCGAGUGUAGAGGUGAAAUUCGUAGAUAUUCGGAAGAACACCAGUGGCGAAGGCGGCUCACUGGCCCGGUACUGACGCUGAGGUGCGAAAGCGUGGGGAGCAAACAGG
rnacentral:rRNA from 1 species